AAGACCUUGCACUUUUGGAGCGGCCGAUGUCUGAUUAGCUAGUUGGUGGGGUAAAGGCCUACCAAGGCUUCGAUCAGUAGCUGGUCUGAGAGGACGGCCAGCCACACUGGGACUGAGACACGGCCCAGACUCCUACGGGAGGCAGCAGUGGGGAAUUUUGGACAAUGGGCGCAAGCCUGAUCCAGCCAUGCCGCGUGAGUGAAGAAGGCCUUCGGGUUGUAAAGCUCUUUCAGCCGGGAAGAAAAAACUGCGACUAAUAAUCGCAGUUCAUGACGGUACCGGAAGAAGAAGCACCGGCUAACUACGUGCCAGCAGCCGCGGUAAUACGUAGGGUGCGAGCGUUAAUCGGAAUUACUGGGCGUAAAGGGUGCGCAGGCGGUUUUGUAAGUCAGAUGUGAAAUCCCCGGGCUUAACCUGGGAACU
rnacentral:rRNA from 1 species